rnacentral:rRNA from 1 species
GUGGAAGCGUCUGGAAAGGCGCGCGAUACAGGGUGACAGCCCCGUACACAAAAGUGCAUGUGCUGUGAGCUCGAUGAGUAGGGCGGGACACGUGGUAUCCUGUCUGAAUAUGGGGGGACCAUCCUCCAAGGCUAAAUACUCCUGACUGACCGAUAGUGAACCAGUACCGUGAGGGAAAGGCGAAAAGAACCCCGGCGAGGGGAGUGAAAAAGAACCUGAAACCGUGUACGUACAAGCAGUGGGAGCACAGGUUUACCUGUGUGACUGCGUACCUUUUGUAUAAUGGGUCAGCGACUUAUAUUCUGUAGCAAGGUUAACCGUAUAGGGGAGCCGUAGGGAAACCGAGUCUUAACCGGGCGUUAAGUUGCAGGGUAUAGACCCGAAACCCGGUGAUCUAGCCAUGGGCAGGUUGAAGGUUGGGUAACACUAACUGGAGGACCGAACCGACUAAUGUUGAAAAAUUAGCGGAUGACCUGUGGCUGGGGGUGAAAGGCCAAUCAAACCGGGAGAUAGCUGGUUCUCCCCGAAAGCUAUUUAGGUAGCGCCUCGUGAACUCAUCUCCGGGGGUAGAGCACUGUUUCGGCUAGGGGGCCAUCCCGGCUUACCAACCCGAUGCAAACUGCGAAUACCGGAGAAUGUUAUCACGGGAGACACACGGCGGGUGCUAACGUCCGUCGUGAAGAGGGAAACAACCCAGACCGCCAGCUAAGGUCCCAAAGUCAUGGUUAAGUGGGAAACGAUGUGGGAAGGCCCAGACAGCCAGGAUGUUGGCUUAGAAGCAGCCAUCAUUUAAAGAAAGCGUAAUAGCUCACUGGUCGAGUCGGCCUGCGCGGAAGAUGUAACGGGGCUAAACCAUGCACCGAAGCUGCGGCAGCGACGCUCAGGCGUUGUUGGGUAGGGGAGCGUUCUGUAAGCCUGUGAAGGUGGCCUGUGAGGGUUGCUGGAGGUAUCAGAAGUGCGAAUGCUGACAUAAGUAACGAUAAAGCGGGUGAAAAGCCCGCUCGCCGGAAGACCAAGGGUUCCUGUCCAACGUUAAUCGGGGCAGGGUGAGUCGACCCCUAAGGCGAGGCCGAAAGGCGUAGUCGAUGGGAAACGGGUUAAUAUUCCCGUACUUGGUGUUACUGCGAAGGGGGGACGGAGAAGGCUAUGUUGGCCGGGCGACGGUUGUCCCGGUUUAAGCGUGUAGGUGUGUGUUCCAGGUAAAUCCGGUUCACUUUAACACUGAGGCGUGACGACGAGGCACUACGGUGCUGAAGCAACAAAUGCCCUGCUUCCAGGAAAAGCCUCUAAGCAUCAGGUAACAUCAAAUCGUACCCCAAACCGACACAGGUGGUCAGGUAGAGAAUACCAAGGCGCUUGAGAGAACUCGGGUGAAGGAACUAGGCAAAAUGGUGCCGUAACUUCGGGAGAAGGCACGCUGACACGUAGGUGAAGUGAUUUACUCAUGGAGCUGAAGUCAGUCGAAGAUACCAGCUGGCUGCAACUGUUUAUUAAAA